CCUGGGCGACAGAGAAAGACUCCAUCUCAAAAUAAUAAUAAUAAUAAUAAUAUUUCUGAGAUCUUUAUGUAUAAUAAAAUUCACUCAUUUUAAGUAUUUCAUAUGUUUUGACAAAGGUAUACACCUAUGUAAUGAGUAUUAACUAUAUCUCAUACAUGUAUAUAAAUGUGCACACACAUAUAUAGAUAUAUACAGAGAGAUAUAGAUAUUUAUUUCAUAUGUAGUACUAUGAAAUUUUAGACCUGUGUAGAUUCAGGCAAUCAUUACCAUAAUCAGGAUAUGAAUAGCUCCAUCACACCAAAAAUCAAUGUCAGUGAUAAGACAUUUCUUCCAGAAAAAUAUUUUAUUGGUCUGAGUUCUAGCAAUUCCUGUGGUUAGUGUUAAUUUUACACACACACACACACGCACG
rnacentral:lncRNA from 1 species